CCCUGGGCUUUAAUAAAACCACCAUUUUGCACCAAAGACUUCUCAAGAAUUCUUUCUUGGUCAUCGGCUCCAGACUUCACCCCACCAGAUGUCAUCUAUAUUCCAAAACCACAUCAAGUCUCUGAGCGCAGAAAUUUUCCUAGACUCUGAUGGACAGAAUGGCUCCCACUUCCAUUGCAGUUGCUUCAUACUGUCUUCUGGAUUACAAUUUCCUCCAACCUGUUUCAUCUGCUCCAACUGUGCAGUUUGCCUUCCUGGGAAACACCGCACCCCCCAGCCAGACCAGGCCCUGCCCGCAGGCAUCCUCUCCUAAAGAAAAG